CAGAUAACGUAAUUAUGACUGUAGACAGCAGGUGUGCUAGUGCACUUAAUGCCCGCGGGCGCCCGCCGAGGUCUGGCCGAAAUGCUCUGUAACGGAGAAGGCCCUCGUGUGUCUACACGGGGGCCUUUUUGCCGGCUGU
rfam:Clostridiales bacterium PH28_bin88 ph28_335, whole genome shotgun sequence.